rnacentral:rRNA from 1 species
UAGGGAAUCUUCCGCAAUGGACGAAAGUCUGACGGAGCAACGCCGCGUGAGCGAAGAAGGUCUUAGGAUCGUAAAGCUCUGUUGUCAGGGAAGAACAAGUGCCGUUCGAACAGGGCGGUACCUUGACGGUACCUGACGAGGAAGCCACGGCUAACUACGUGCCAGCAGCCGCGGUAAUACGUAGGUGGCAAGCGUUGUCCGGAAUUAUUGGGCGUAAAGCGCGCGCAGGCGGUUCCUUAAGUCUGAUGGGAAAUCUCGCGGCUCAACCGCGAGCGGCCAUUGGAAACUGGGGAACUUGAGUGCAGGAGAGGGGAGCGGAAUUCCACGUGUAGCGGUGAAAUGCGUAGAGAUGUGGAGGAACACCAGUGGCGAAGGCGGCUCUCUGGCCUGUAACUGACGCUGAGGCGCGAAAGCGUGGGGAGCGAACAGG